CCUUCUCCAUCCAACUCCUUAUCUUCCGAUCGUUUUUGAUCCCGAACCCUUCUCCCAACUCCUCAUCGCACGCUGGCCUUCUCCAUCCAACUCCUCCUCUCACGCCCUCUCCUUCCAACUCCUCUCGUUUUUGAUCGUUUCCGUUCGUUAUUAUUAAUGCGCCUGACGCCGUCUUGUUCGUCCCCUUUUAUCCUCAUUUCCUUCGCUUCGGGGUUUUAGUGGCGACCAGAUCGAGAAAGCGAAGAGAGGUUGAGGGAGGGGCGGGCGGCGACCGCGAACGCCGACGAGUUAAGUUAGAGGUUUGGAUUCAUGAUUUAUGUCGUCUGGCGAUCUCGAUCUAUUCUUGCACGGUGCCGGAAACUUUGCAGCUUCGAACCAGCGAAGCAUCUCUGGCUCCUGCGUCGUCGGUGGGCUCACCUUCUUUCUCUUCGCCCUCUCCGCCACCUCCUCCUUCAUAUCCUGCGCUCCUUACGUUCCACUGAAGUGGGAGGGGUCGAAGAGGACGGACUCGAUGCGAUAUACCAGGGUUGGUUUUGGAGUGAAGUACUUUGGGUUUCAGCAUAUAAAUCUGUGCUUUGUCCUGUUCAUCUUCUUGAGAGGAGCCCUUACUUGACAAAGAGAGCAGCCGAACAACUCCCCCCUUUUUGCUUGCGUUUUCCUUUUUUUUUUCCCUCUUUCUUUGCUUUUUUGUUUUUCGUUCUUGAUUCUGUCUUGAGGUUGAGGAAGACAAUGACUGCACUUCGGCACACCUGAUAUCUUCCCCAAACCAUCAAAACUUUAAAUCGAAAGCCUGGUGAUGCUCCCUUUAGUGCAAACUAGUGUAUGCUCAUCGUUCUGCCUGUUCUAGUCUUUAUAAAAUAAAAGAUAAAGGAAAUCAAAAUCAGCUAAAGGUUUGAGUUGCAUCAUUUCACUGAACAAAUCAUACUCUUGUUAUUUGUAGACAUUGUUUUCCUAAAUGAAAUAAUUAUUGUGUUGAGGUAAGCUUAUUCCUAGUUAUUUAUUUGUUUGUUCAGAAAUUACUUCGUCAGUCUUUACCAGCUUCCAAGGCCUAUUUCUACCUCUAUUGAGUUUCUUGGAUUGUAAAUGUCGUAUGAUAUGAUAUUGUUGUUUACAUCGCACAUUUGCUGUAGAACUUACCAUUGAAAGCCAUCCAAUAUCAGUCAUUUUACCAAAUCACACCCUUUGUAUUUAAUCUUUUGAUCAAAUCGCACACUAUUUAUUUUAUACCAAAUUACAUCCCCAUCAUAAAUUUUCCCAUAUUGUGUCCUUAAUUUUCAAGCCCUCCCAGAAUGAAAAUGAAAACUGAUUUACAAAUUAGUUUGUCAAUCAAUUAACACUUGGGUUUUGGAGGUAACUUAAAACACCAAGGAUAAUAUCUGAAAAUUUUAUUGCCAUUCAAAAACCACAAUAGUGGAGCAUGAUUUGAUCAAAGCCAAACACAACGGGUAUCUCGUUUGGUACAAUGCCCUUCUACAUUUGUUUUUUUUCCAUAGUUUUUAAGAUUAGUUCUCAAGCUAAAAGACUUUUGCUUCUGCUAUUUAUUAUUGUUGGAGGAAUGAUAAAUAUAUUUGCAUUUCUCAUUGUAUUUGACUUUUAUUUUAAUAAAAAGAAAUGCAGGUCAAUUCCAUUUUCAGUUUUUUCCAAGCAAGCUGGUGUUCUGUGUUUUUUCUCUCAUCCAUUGCCAGAGUUAAAAUUCUCAGCACCUAACCAAAUCACAUGAACACUAGUAUUGGUGCCAUGUAACAUCGGGGCCUUGAGAUUGUUUAAUUCAAACAAGGGAACGAAAGGUAGAAAAAAGGCUAUGUGGUUAGUAGUAAAGGCUCCUUGACAACAAGAUGUCAAACAAUGUGGUUAUUAUGUGAUACGAUUUAUUUACCAAAUUGUUGAAGAAGUUGAAAUUAUCGAGAGAGAUUCACUACGAUCUAUAUUCACAAAAGCGGAGUAUUCUCGAGAAGAAAUUGAUGAGGUGCGAUCGGAGUUGGCAGAAUGUAUAUAAGAUUAUAUUUAUGAGUAGGUGCGUUCAAACUUAUAUACACAGUGGUAGGUGUUUUGUCCCAGUCUCAAGCCGUCAAUCCAUUUUGAUCAAUAUAUCUAGUAGAAGUAAACAUGCAGAUCAUUGUCUUCGAGACCGGCUAGCUAUUUUGUGCUUUUUUUGUUUUAAACUUGAAUGCCAGUAAUUACUUGAAACAGAAAUAUUUAGUCUUUGUGUAUAGUUGAAUUCUCCUGUAAAUACUAAUACUUUGUAGUUGAAUUCUAUUGUUUGGUA